UUAUUUAAAAAAAAAAAUAGUUAUUUGUUUGUUUAUUAGUAUUUAUUUAAUUAUUUGUGUUUAUUUAUGUGAUUAUUAUUUAUUUAAUUAUGUGGCGUGUAACUUUCGUAUUUGGAAUAUUUAUCGGUUUUGGUUAAGUCGGUUAAUUAAAUAGAAUCAAGUGUUAUUUAGAUUUUAUAUGAGUUGGGCUUUGUGUGGGAAAGAUAGAAUAGUCCAUUGAAAUUUGGGGUGUAAAUAGGAAUAGUGUAGAGAAUAGAAACCUAGUUGAUAUAUUGGUAUAAAUAGAAUAUAGAACUCACUUCUUUUAUUUUGUAAACCGCCCUAGCUAUUCAUGUUGAGCCUUCAUUCACUUUUAGUCGGAACCAUAUAUACACAGUGGAAAUCAUGAUAUUAAAAUACCAAUUCACCCAGAUGGAAGAUUAGUGGAGCACUCACGUUUCAUAUCUUGGUUACUCCAUCAAAUUGUUUUCCCUUAGUCCUUAUUAAUUAGCCUUAUCAACCCACACCCAUUGAAACUAGUGAGACAUCCUUAUCCUUAUAAUCAUAAAAUUACCAUUUCAACAUUUCGUGAAAGAAAAGAGGAGGGUUUUAAAGAGACAAGAAUAAGAGGAGGCGAGAAGAAGAAAAGAGAAAAGAACAAGCCAAGUAGUAGAGAAACCAAGUGAAGGAGUAAAUUUCAACAAAUCUAAGGUUCUCAGGUUGUAUGUUUGUCGGUGUUCGAGUUGUUAGCGAAAGCUCCGCUCUGGUUGUGACACGGGGAAGGGUUUAUCGAGUCUUGUACUUGUAUUCUUAUUUUAUUGUAAAUGUAUUAUUUUAGAAAACAAUUUUUAUUAAGUGAGGUUUAUGCUAAUUAGCAAUGUUCUUGAAGUAUGUAAUACCUUAAACCACUAUUUUAUAUUUUAUAUUCGACUUCGAGUCGUUUUAAUUUUA